rnacentral:lncRNA from 1 species
GCAGCCUCCUCUUUCCUCUCUCUCAGGUCACUUUCCCUGGGGGUAGUCAGCUGUCGUGUCACGAGGACAUUCAAACAGCCCUGUGGGAAGACCCAUGUGACAAGGAGCUGAGGCCUCCAGCAAACAGCCAGAUGAAGACCAUGAGGCACAGAGAGGUUUGUUAACUUGCCCAAGGCCAAACAGCUGGUGGGGAAGCUGAGGCCCAGAGAGGUGAGUGGCAUGUCCGAAGCAGCCCAGCGCAGGGUGCGAGGUAGGCAGGGCUGGGCCCCCGGGCCUUCCCUGUGAACCAUCUGCCCGCCGGUUGCAGGAGGCAGUUCCUGGAAAGCAAGCGGGCCGAGUUCCUCACAGAGAUCAGAAGAGCAACAAGAUCUCCAGGCCAGGGCAGAGGUCCCCGCCCUGGAUGCUGGUGACACUUCCCCUGGGCGGGAGGGGCUGGGAGCAUGCAGAUCUCAGCCCUGAACAGCCUGUCCUCUCGCCUCGAGGUUCUUGGUAGGCUGGGAACAGCCUGUCCUGCUGAGCUUCCUGUCACCUCUCUAGCUGCCCACACGCCGCACAGCUGCCACCGCCGGCCCUGGCCCGGGAGAGGGGGGUCUCUGGGGAUC